rnacentral:rRNA from 1 species
UACGUAGGGUGCAAGCGUUGUCCGGAAUUAUUGGGCGUAAAGGGCUCGUAGGCGGUCCAUCGCGUCGGGAGUGAAAAGCUGGGGCUUAACCCCAGUCCUGCUUCCGAUACGGGUGGACUAGAGGUAGGCAGGGGAGAACGGAAUUCCAGGUGUAGCGGUGAAAUGCGUAGAUAUCUGGAGGAACACCGGUGGCGAAGGCGGCGUCCUGGACCAACACUGACACUGAGGAGCGAAAGCCAGGGGAGCAAACGGG